CUUUGUUAGAUGGAAAAGAUAUUCAUGGCAAACUGCAUGAUGAUGGCCAUAUCGAUAUCGAACGUCUAGAAAAGUUUACAGGCUUGUAUAUUCAUGAUAUAAUCAUCCAAGUUGAGAAAGAUGAUGGGGUUAAAUGUAUUAGAAAACAUCAAAUACAAGGGGCUUGUCGUGGAAUUGAAUUUCAAAUGAAAUUCUCAGUAGAAGAGGUCACUCAGCAAGAUAGUCAAAGUCAGUCAGCAUCAAAAACAGGAGAUGCUUGUGAAGACAACCCUCGAAUCAUUUAUCUGGAAGUCGGUUU